UUUGAGCUUCCAGAGAUAAAGGAUUUUGGGUGAUCACUGCCUGGAUGUUACAACUCUCUUUGUUGCAAGCCUCCAUUGAACACUAUCUUCAGCUGCACGGGAUCCAGAUUCCCAGAACAUGGCUUGGCACAACACUGCUGUGCUACCUGUUCUGUAGUCUCCUGCCACACCCCUCUUUGUGGCUCAUCCUGCUGAUGUCAGAAACACUGCUGACACAUCACUGUACUUCUCGUCUCUCUCCUCUCUCCCUCCUUUCUGUAGCAGUCCGUUGUUUCCUGUCUUUCUGCUAGCUAGCUGGUUCUCUUCCCUUUUGACUGUCCAAAUUAGAGAUUUUGCUAUCCAUUUUGCUUCCAUCUCAUCAGGAACGGAGUCUGAGGAGGGGAGAAGAGACAUUCCAGUAAUCCAACUUGAUUCCCUAAGGGGAUUUGUUUUACUAUUUCUCCACUGACAUCAGAGAUUAUGACAACAAACAUGGCCAGCCAUGGAUCAGAACGAUGGAGCACUUCAGAUCCAGAAUGUGUCUGAAUAUGAGUCAGAAUGUGUAUGUAGAACAUCAAACAGAAGACGGUAUGCAGAGACUGAUGAGGCACUGGAGGAAGUUGCCCAGAGAGGUGAUGCCUCUGGAGACAUUCAAGGUCAAACUGGACGGAUUUUGAGCAACCUGAU